UCCUCUCCUCCUCCACAGAGGGGUUGCUGUAGCCGUGGCCGGAGCCGAUCCUUUCCUUCUCUUUUGGUGGCAAUUCAAUUCAUCGCCCAUUUUUUGUCGAUUAAUUGAUUGCCACGUUCUUCCAUUUUGCAUUUGUAGUGUUGGAAAUAAUAAAAAUCGAAUCGAAUCAUCCUUAUGUGUUUGAGCGAUUAAUCGGCGAGUUAAAUGGAGAAUCUCUGGCAAAGAAUGGUGGGGCCAAUGAGAAGGUUAUGGAUGGGCAUAGCGACUCGACUCGGCAUUAGGAGAAACGGUCUUCUCAAGUUGCAGCACGAGGUGCACACGUGCGGGUACAAAGACGUGCAGGUCAUGUGGGAGAUGCUCCAAAAGACGACAAUGGACAAUCAACCACCGAAACAGAGGCAGCGACGCCCGCUAUGGGGGCUCUUUGGAUGGGCAAGGAGGGCAGCUUGCCCAUGCCACCAAUUCUAAUGAAUUGGAAUUAUAG